rfam:Brassica oleracea var. oleracea cultivar TO1000 chromosome C4, whole genome shotgun sequence
AAUCCGUGGUGUGGACAGUCUCGCUGGAAGAACUUGAAUCUAAUCCACGCGUCUUUGAAAGACUCUCAUGUCUCUUGCGCGAAAGUAGCGAUUUUGCUUCUCAAGUCU